AUGGAGACUUCUGGCAGCUCCGGGAGGCUCAAAUCACUGGAGGCUGGCAAAGGAAACAUGCUCAGUAAAUGUCACACCAUGCUGGUGCCGAUCCAGCUUCCCCGGGCAUCAGGGGCAGGAUCUUGGGUGAGACGGACCUUUGCUCCGCUCUGGUACUUCCAUCCUUGCGAUUGCCCUAUUGCAAUAUCAGAGUGCAGCUGGGCCUGGCUCUCACCCGUGUGGUUCUCUGCAGCCCGCUGGGCAACUCAGCCCUCCCUCUGCUGCAGCAGCCCCGGUGCCCGYGGCUGCCCGGGAAACCUGCUGCCCCAGCUUGCCUGCGGCCCGUGGUCCCCCAGCGGAGAGACGCACCGAGCAUCAGGCAGCGCGUGCUGCCUGCAGGCUAGGGAAGGGCACGACCUGGCAGCCAGCCGGCUGCACACCUGCGUCACCGGGGCCUGCCAAGUGCAGGUGCGAAGGAGGAMCCCGCUGCGGCAAAACCCCUCCAGCAGGUCCCGGGCAGCUUUGCCGACGGUCUCCUCUUGGCUCUCAUCCUUGAGCUUCUGGGGGCAGGAGAGGAGCCGGGCCGGAGGGGAAGCCGCAGCAGAGCCGAGCCAGGCUCGCGGCAGGGAGCAGGGCUCACUGGACCCCUGCGGGUUCGGGGGGGACCAGACGGCUGCGGGUACUGCAGGGCAGUGGAUCGGGGCGCGUCCGUCACCGAGGUGCCCCAGGGCCUCGCCGGGCUGGGUGGGAGCCGCGGCCACUCGCCGGGGUGAGUCACACUGGUCCCAGCCCGGGUUCGUCCUUUGGGAACCUGCRGCCUCGCUCCGUGCCUCAGUUUCCCCCGCUGAGGCGGGGGGACGACGCCAGCGCCCUUCCUGCACRGCCGACGGUAAUGAGGGGUUUGUGCUGGGCGCCCGCUCAGCUCGCAGCUCGGGUUUCCGCCGGGAGAAACUCCCCGCGAGCCUCGAGGAAAAGCCCCAAGCAGAGCUUUUUCCGAGGCUCAGGCGCCCUGGCAGCGCGCGGGCCCGGCAGGCGGACGGCGUCGGGGCUGGGAGCAGCACGGGCGCGCGGGCGUGA
rnacentral:lncRNA from 1 species